rnacentral:rRNA from 1 species
UACGUAGGGUGCAAGCGUUGUCCGGAAUUAUUGGGCGUAAAGAGCUCGUAGGCGGUUUGUCGCGUCUGCUGUGAAAACUCGGGGCUUAACCCCGGGCCUGCAGUGGGUACGGGCAGACUAGAGUGCGGUAGGGGAGACUGGAAUUCCCGGUGUAGCGGUGAAAUGCGCAGAUAUCAGGAGGAACACCGGUGGCGAAGGCGGGUCUCUGGGCCGUAACUGACGCUGAGGAGCGAAAGCGUGGGGAGCGAACAGG